GUUUCCGUAGUGUAGUGGUAAUCACGUUUGCUUUACACGCGAAAGGUCAACGGUUCGAGCCCGGGCGGAAACA
rnacentral:tRNA from 1 species